rfam:Myotis brandtii contig218789, whole genome shotgun sequence.
UGUCACUUGGGUUCAUUUUAGCUGGUUAAUGGACUGUUGCUUCUCUCCUCUUCCACUCAUCUUUUGCACUUUUUGCAGCCAAAGACUUACUU